rnacentral:rRNA from 1 species
UGGGGAAUUUUGCACAAUGGGGGAAACCCUGAUGCAGCGACGCCGCGUGAUUUAGAAGGCCUUCGGGUUGUAAAAAUCUUUUCUAUGGGAAGAAAAUGACAGUACCAUAGGAAUAAGGACCGGCUAAUUACGUGCCAGCAGCCGCGGUAAUCCGUAAGGUCCGAGCGUUGUCCGGAAUCAUUGGGCGUAAAGGGUACGUAGGCGGGUAAGCAAGUUAGGAGUGAAAUCCUGUAGCUCAACUACAGUAAGCUUUUAAAACUGCUCAUCUUGAGAUAUGGAAGGGAAAGUGGAAUUCCUAGUGUAGCGGUGAAAUGCGCAGAUAUUAGGAGGAAUACCGGUGGCGAAGGAGACUUUCUGGCCAUAAUCUGACGCUGAGGUACGAAAGCGUGGGUAGCAAACAGG